AAUAACACUGAGUGCCAAGGAUGGGGACAGACUGGGAUCAGCAGGAGGCUGCAGAGAUGGCUGAGGAGUUAAGAUCAAUUGUUGCUCUUCUAGAGGACAGGAGUUAGCUCCUAAAUCUCAGCUCCUAAAGGGGCACCUCAUAACCACCUGUGUAACUCCUGCUCCAGUCAACGAGACAAACAGAAUAAUCUCACCUUCAUGAGGCAUACUACUCAAACAAUGGAGCCCAGAGCUAACAGACUUGAAAAAACACUGAAAGUUAUUUUUAUCUGUGUUCAAGUGGUAAACACUAUGGAUCCUAAUUGAGAAAAGCAUCCAGCUCAACCAAGCAGCUUGGUCAAGUGGUCUUUUUCCUGAUUAAAGAAGAUCCAGAAAUCCUUCUCCUGGGCAUAUACCCAGAAGAUGUUGCAA